GCUUUGGGCUAUUUUUUACUUGAUGGGGGUAGAUUUGGGGACAGUUUUAUUCGUUGAGGGCAGGUUUAGGGGCAGUUUCACUUGUUGAGGGCAUUUUUUGGGCUUUUUUUACUUGGUGAGGGUAGGUUUGGGGGUAGUUUUACAAGAGGAUAUGAGGUUUUGGGCUACUUUUCACCCAGGGUGGUAGAUUUGGGGACAGUUUUCCUUGGUGAGGAAAGGUUUUGGGCUGUCUUUUGCCUGGGGCCGGUAGAUUUGGGGGCCCUUUUUUUUUUUUUUAUCCAGGGGAGGGCAGGUUUGAGGCAGUUUUACUUGGUAAGGGUAGAUUUGGGGGCAGUUUUACCCAGGGAGAGCAGGUUUAGGGGCAGUUUCACUUGUUGAGGGCAUUUUUUGGGCUUUUUUUACUUGGUGAGGGCAGGUUUGAGGCAGUUUUACUUGGUAAGGGUAGAUUUGGGGGCAGUUUUACCCAGGGAGAGCAGGUUUAAGGGUACUUUUACUCGAAAAGGGCAGGUUUUGGGGUAGUUUUACUUGGUAAGGCUAGUUUAGGGGGCAGUUUUACCUGGGGAGGACAGGUUUUGGGCUGUUUUUUUUACCAGCUCCAUUAAGUUAUGUGAACUUGUU
ensembl:lncRNA